CAACAAGGAGCAAAUCCCUAAAAUUAGCCUCAGUUCGGAUUGGAGUCUGCAACUCGACUCCAUGAAGUUGGAUUCGCUAGUAAUCGCUCAUCAGCAACGGAGCGGUGAAUACGUUCCCGGGCCUUGUACACACCGCCCGUCAAGCCAUGGGAGUUGGAAGUACCUGAAGUCGAUAACCGAAAGGAGUCGCCCAAGGUAAAUCUAAUGAGCUGGGGCUAAGUCGUAAUCAAGGUAACCGUA
rnacentral:rRNA from 1 species